rnacentral:rRNA from 1 species
UAACUUAGUGGCGGACGGGUGAGUAACGCGUGGGUAACCUGCCGUAUACAGGGGGGUAACGACUUAGAAAUAGGUGCUAAAACCGCAUAAGCGCACAGCGCCGCAUGGCGCAGUGUGAAAAACUCCGGUGGUAUACGAUGGACCCGCGUCUGAUUAGCCAGUUGGCAGGGUAACGGCCUACCAAAGCGACGAUCAGUAGCCGGCCUGAGAGGGUGGACGGCCACAUUGGGACUGAGACACGGCCCAAACUCCUACGGGAGGCAGCAG